GGGGAAUAUUGCGCAAUGGGCGAAAGCCUGACGCAGCGACGCCGCGUGAGGGAUGAAGGCCUUCGGGUUGUAAACCUCUUUCAGCAGGGACGAAGCGAAAGUGACGGUACCUGCAGAAGAAGCACCGGCCAACUACGUGCCAGCAGCCGCGGUAAUACGUAGGGUGCAAGCGUUGUCCGGAAUUAUUGGGCGUAAAGAGCUCGUAGGCGGUCUGUCGCGUCGGCUGUGAAAACUCGGGGCUCAACCCCGAGCCUGCAGUCGAUACGGGCAGACUAGAGUGCUGUAGGGGAGACUGGAAUUCCUGGUGUAGCGGUGAAAUGCGCAGAUUUCAGGAGGAACACCGGUGGCGAAGGCAAUCCCCUGGGCCUGCACUGACGCUCAUGCACGAAAGCGUGGGGAGCAAAC
rnacentral:rRNA from 1 species